GACGAACGCUGGCGGCGUGCUUAACACAUGCAAGUCGAACGGAAAGGCCCUGCUUGCAGGGUACUCGAGUGGCGAACGGGUGAGUAACACGUGGGUGAUCUGCCCUGCACUUCGGGAUAAGCCUGGGAAACUGGUUCUAAUACCGUAUAGUAGCCAUUUUUCGUGUGAUGGUUGGAAAGUUUUUUCGGUGUAGGAUGAGCUCUCGGCCUAUCAGCUUGUUGGUGGGGUAAUGGCCUACCAAGGCGGCGACGGGUAGCCGGCCUGAGAGGGUGGACGGCCACAUUGGGAAUGAGAUACGGCCCAGACUCCGAAGGGAGGCAGAAGUGGGGAAGAUUGCACAAUGGGAGCAAGCCUGAUGCAGCGACGACGCGGGGGGGAGGACGACAUUGGGGUUGUAAACUAAUUGCGCUAGGGACGAAGCUGUUUGUGACGGUACCUAGAUAAGAAGCACCGGCUAACUACGUG
rnacentral:rRNA from 1 species